UCCGAUGUGACAGAAAAUGUGCUAGACUUAAAAUCUACUAAUGGCUAAGCCCUUCGGUG
rnacentral:tRNA from 1 species